rfam:Gossypium arboreum cultivar AKA8401 contig_3505_1, whole genome shotgun sequence.
UGUUAGAAAUUUUAUUAAUUUCUAUUGUUAAAAAUUAGUUUAGUUGACAGCAUAAUCAGACAGUUACAUGUGACACAUUACAUGUACUUCAUUUUGACGUACAUAAACUAAUUUUUAAGAAUAGAAAUGGAUAAAAAUUUUAAUA